UGAAGGUUCUAUUAAGUUCCGAAGUCGUAUCAAAGUUUGAUGCGACGUAAAUUACGGGGUUGGAUUAAAUUGUAAGAAACUUAGAGGAACUAAUUGGAACUUUUUCCAAUUAAAGCCACUAGAUAAGAUCACCUUAUGAUCAUAAUCUUCAUCCCACUAAGCCUUCAAGAAGCUACUAAACUCCCCAAAGAACUCCAUUUUUGCCGAACCCACAAUCCAUCACCAUCUCCACCAAAUUUUUCAUCAAAACUUAAGAUUGUUGGAGGUAAAUCAUAUAUUGAUUUAAGAUCCGGCAAGGAACGCAGCUAACGGACAAGGAGCACCUUAAACUAGACGACAAUUAAUCGAUCGAGGUUUUAGGAGUAGCAAGCGUCUUUCCUUUCAGGUAAAAUAUUUUGAUGUGACGGACUUCUAUCCUUGUUCAGAAGUCCGUAUUUUGGAAGUAUGUAAAUAAGAAGACGUCGAUCGAUAGUGCUGCAGUAGAUGUCAAGUCCUAGUUAUGAAUAUGGCUUUGCUGAACGGUUUUAAUGUUUUAUCCAACUCUGAUAUGUAAAUAAAGUUUUAAACUGCGCUUUUAA